AUGCAAGUCGAACGAACUUCCGUUAAUUGAUCAGGACGUGCUUGCACUGAAUGAGAUUUUAACACGAAGUGAGUGGCGGACGGGUGAGUAACACGUGGGUAACCUGCCCAGAAGCAGGGGAUAACACCUGGAAACAGAUGCUAAUACCGUAUAACAGAGAAAACCGCCUGGUUUUCUUUUAAAAGAUGGCUCUGCUAUCACUUCUGGAUGGACCCGCGGCGCAUUAGCUAGUUGGUGAGGUAACGGCUCACCAAGGCGAUGAUGCGUAGCCGACCUGAGAGGGUAAUCGGCCACAUUGGGACUGAGACACGGCCCAGACUCCUACGGGAGGCAGCAGUAGGGAAUCUUCCACAAUGGACGCAAGUCUGAUGGAGCAACGCCGCGUGAGUGAAGAAGGGUUUCGGCUCGUAAAGCUCUGUUGUUAAAGAAGAACGUGGGUGAGAGUAACUGUUCACCCAGUGACGGUAUUUAACCAGAAAGCCACGGCUAACUACGUGCCAGCAGCCGCGGUAAUACGUAGGUGGCAAGCGUUAUCCGGAUUUAUUGGGCGUAAAGCGAGCGCAGGCGGUCUUUUAAGUCUAAUGUGAAAGCCUUCGGCUCAACCGAAGAAGUGCAUUGGAAACUGGGAGACUUGAGUGCAGAAGAGGACAGUGGAACUCCAUGUGUAGCGGUGAAAUGCGUAGAUAUAUGGAAGAACACCAGUGGCGAAGGCGGCUGUCUGGUCUGUAACUGACGCUGAGGCUCGAAAGCAUGGGUAGCGAACAGGAUUAGAUACCCUGGUAGUCCAUGCCGUAACGAUGAUUACUAAGUGUUGGAGGGUUUCCGCCCUUCAGUGCUGCAGCUAACGCAUUAAGUAAUCCGCCUGGGGAGUACGACCGCAAGGUGAAACUCAAAAGAAUUGACGGGGCCCGCACAAGCGUGAGCAUGUG
rnacentral:rRNA from 1 species